GGCCCUUGACACUAAACAAACAGGCCCUAACACGCUUUCUGUAACAAAAACCCACUGCCUCUUUUUGAGAAGAAAAUUCCAGAAGAAAAGUUUAGACGUCGCUUGCACGAUCGCUGUUGCUGUUGCUGAGUAGAUUACACAGGGUUUUGGAAUUUGAAUCUUGAUGGCUGAGGAUAACACAGAUGAACUUGCCAGUCCAGCAGCAAGUGUGAAGAAUGACUCUAUGGCUG
rnacentral:misc_RNA from 1 species